CUGCAUCCCUGCGUGGUAAAGCCUAAUGUUUGGGUACUGACAAGCCCAACUGCGCGAGUAGGUCUGGAAGGAUUAAAAGGCAGCUAAGAGUGCCUCGGUAGGAGAGGAUCCUUAGCUUGUAGGGGGCUGUAAUAGAUGACUGGAGGAACUUGAUGGCCUCUUUAACAUCUGAGCUUUACAUUGAUUCUCUCCACUCAACUAUAAAGACCUUCUCUCCAGCCUUGGUGCCAUACGAGUCCAAGUGCCUUGGAGCGUCAGUGGUUCCACCUGAAGGGAGCUGUUGUGGUGGCACAAGAUGAGGUAUGGGAGGUGAGGACUCAGCAUGCAAAGUGCAUAAUCCAAGUGGGGAAA